UCUCUCUCUCUCACUCUCAGUCAGUAUGGCCGUGCGUGACGGUCUAGUCGCGUUACGUUGGUGGGCUCUUUGUAAUUGUGUUUAGCUUCGUGCCGUCGACGCGAUUAAUUAAUCGAAUCGUGAGCCAGAAGAAAAUUGUGUGACGCCAUGGAGCGCGCGUCGGAGGCGCUCAGUGUCAACGACGUCUACAGCCUCGCCGAGGAGAUCGGGAAAGAGUUCGAAAUCCUCAUUGACAACUACGGCGUCGAGCCCGUGAACAAGCUGGUCACUAAAGUGAUUCGCGUGUUGGAGUACCUCGAAGCGUACGCCACCAAGAAUGACAUCGCUCGCGAUGAGAUCGCCGAGCUCAGGGCCCAGAUCUACCAGCUCGAGCACGACAAGUAUGAGAAGGCGGAGUCGAGAAGCAAGCUCGAAAAGGAGAUGGAGCAGUAUGAAGACAUCUGGCGGCAAGAAAUGAAAGAUCUGGGUGGCCUUGUGGCACGGCUGCAGGAGGAAAACUCCAAACUGAGCAGCUCCCUCAAAGAGAGAGAGAGUCACCCCUCCUUGCAGUGCGAGCCACACAGUGUGACACUAGGGGAGGACAUCGUCGUCCUUGAACGGCUCCGGGAUGCCUUCGACAAGCAGGGAGUCCAACUGAGACAUUAUGAAAGGGACAUGGCUAAAAAAGCUGCCGACAUAGAAUCUCUUCAGCAGCAGCUGGAAGCCAGCAAGAAGACAGCCCAAGAGCAGAGCCGACGCAACCGGCGGCUGCAGCAGCAGAUGCGGCAGCUGUGCGAGGAGCGCGGCGACCUGCAAGUGCAGUUGCAGGACCAGCAGAGCCAGCUCCAGACCUUGCAGGAGCGGCUAGGCAUUGCCGUCAAAGACCACGACGACCUUCUCCAGUCCAGGGACACGGUCUUGGAUAUGCAAGGAAAAGUGGUGAUUGACUUGGAUGACCCGAACCGACCACGCUUCACACUGGAGGAGCUCAAGCACAUCUUGUUUGAGAGGAAUGAGCUCAAGGCUCGAGUUAGUGAUCUCGAAGACGAGCUGGCUCUAUACAGGCCAAGGUGGUGGGCUCAUGAGGCAACCUCGCUUCUGACCAGGCCGGUUGACCCACCAUUGCCGGUCAGGGACGAAGACCGGCCCGUCCAGGGACCCAUCAACCAGGAGCCUGAGGAGAAGCUUUUUUCUUACGGAAAGGCCUCCGGCAUUCGCAAAUUGUUCCGGGUCAUUAAUAAGGUUAGAGGAUGAGUUUGCUGCCGUAUCUUGGACCUUGAAGGAAGGCAGCUCGCAGCAGUCAUCCCCCCUUGACUGUUUUCCAAGUGUCCUGUGGCCCCGCGUCAAGCCAGGAUGAGAGGCCUCGUAUGCUGUCUCCUGCGGGGCCUGCUCUCUCACGGUGGCCUCUCGCUGGAGUUCUUUGUCGACAUCGCACCGCUUUUUGAACUGCACAUGGCCUUGUCUUCGGACUCCGGACUAUUACUGUGAAGCCGUGCUUUCAUUGCUCACAAGUGCAGCAAGGAUGGAAAGUGAUGCGCCCACCCCUUCCCUUGGGGACGUGUGUCAUUGCCACUGCAGCCCAAUGGCAUUGUGUGUGUGUAUUACCCUUUGAACGUGCCAAGCUAGGAAAGCGGCAGGUUGCAGAAGUGACAGCGAGUUCUCAAAUUAAAUUAAAACGUCACUCAUGAUUAGUGGUCAGUGCUAAAUGUGGCUUCACUGUUUUAGGGAGGUCCAUCUCGAACUGCAGCUAAAGUUUAAAAGCAGCAACCACAUGGAACAUCCUUUGAUGUAUUUUCUAUGCAUUGUUGCCAUGCAUAUUUUGUGACGCACAAAGCUCCCGCUGUAGUCGCGGCUGAGGUGCAUUCAAUGUGGUUGCUUAAUUGAGUUAAGCGUAGCACCAUUCAGCCACGAUUACAGCGUGGGCAAUGUGUUGUGAAAUAGAAAUGGCAAUAUCAUGACUGGGGAAAACACGGGGAAUGCGGGAGGUGGAAAUUCAAGACAAUGCGCAACACAAGAACAAGGUGAGAGCAGGAGCCAACCUUUCGACAAGUGGACUUGUCUUCUUCCAAGGCAACAUAUGCUCUCCUCGGCACAGUAUAUAUAGGUAGGGUUCUUCUAAAGGGGAGAGAAGGUAAGGCGGGUGGGUGAGGUAAUGAGCGAGGGUGUAGAAUUGAAAAGAAAGAUAAUGCGCUACUGAUCGUCGGUGGACGAAUUUGAGGCGGCGCGGUGUGUUAGCCGGUUGACGUGUCAUUGUAGGUCCCUUUCACGAAAAUUCACUGACCUCCAGUGAAGCAGAUACCGCUCCCCCCUCCCCUCCCCGUCAUCCAGGCCCCUUCCAUGAAAAGAAGAACCUACAAUGACACGUCAACCGGCUAACUCACGGAGCUGCCUCAAAUUCCUCCACCGACUAUCAGUAGUGCAUUAUCUUUCCUCUCAGUUCUACACCCUUGCCACUAACACACUCUUGCUGGUUACCUCACCCACCCGCCUUACCUUCUCUCCCCUUUAGAAGAACCCUACCUAUAUAUACUGUGCCGAGGACAGCAUAUGUCACCUUGAAGAAGACAAGUCCACUUAUUGAAAUGUUGGCUCCUGCUCUCACCUUGUCCUCGUUUUGCUCAAUAUCAUGACUGAAAACACAGUCAAAGCAUGUUCUAUGUGUUUACUUUUAAAGGUGUGUGCAUUCAAGUACACUUUUACAAUUCUGCAGCAGGUACCAAAAUCUUGUGCAUGUAGUAAUGCAAACUAGGCACUGCACACAUGUGCACAAUGUUCAUGCACAUGACUUUGGCUGCAGUUUAAUAGACCGAAUGCAGAGUUCGCAACUUGUGUUGUAUAGCUUUUUUUUUUCCUUGUAGUUUUUGAAAGUUCAUGUUAUGUGUAAAUUUGUUUUAUUUAUUUUAAUGUAUUUUGAUGGUAUCACCGUUUUCAGUUUUAAUGCAUUUUAGCUGCAGCCUUACUGAUUUGAGUUUUACUUGCAUUGCAUUACACACUGCUUCUUUAUUAAUGAAGUCCGAGGCACUGAAAAAAUGACCCUAGCUAGAGAGAUCUUGGUAAAAUAGAUCUAAUCUGUUGUCACUACUUACGAAUACAAUUGUUAAACGUUCUGAGUAGAUAAUUUCGCUUUCGUCUGAUAGAGAAAUAGCUGUAGGACUGUGUUUCAUGAGAUGCACAUCUUGCAGCAAUGUCAUUUUUUUGUGUGUCCUAUAGCACAGAUCAUUUCCCUUCUAUUAGUUAAUUGCUGUUCAUAAGGUGCAAUCUUGAUACGCUUUUGAAGCUGUCAAUAUUUUACACAGACAUGCAGGCAUUGUUAAUGAUAAGGCUGGCACUACCUUAUGAUUAGGACAUCGAGCAAAGAGCCUUUGCGCUAGGACAUGCUGCUUCAAAAGUGCACUUUAGUUGUUUAGUAAUCAAAAUGUCCUUUCGUGCACAAUGUGGCAGUCUGGAAAAGGCUCACUAGGUUGCCAUGCCAAUAACAUUGUAAGACAAAGUGCGCUGACUUAGUAAUAGCAAUGUGUUUGUGUAAGAAUAGGUUUGAAGUCUUUUCAUUUGUCCCUUUUUAUGCGUUCACUUCAUUUGAGACAUUUAAUGCUGCUGUACAUAUGUGAAUAAAACAAAUUAACAUAGUGUAAGACUUAGUCGUGUAUAUUUAAGAUGCAGGGUUGAGCUGCACAUACAACUUUUUUGCUUUCCUGGUUUUACUAAACAAACCAUUUGUUGAACCAUUCUGCAUGUCUAUGAAAUAAACCCAUACGCUGUCGUUAGUAAGGCUGGAUUGUAGCAGCACCAUGUUUUCGUGCAUGGCUGCCACUGUCUGAAAAGCAGCUGUCUUAAGCACUGUGAGAGAGUACUAUAUAUAAACACAAAAUCUUGACUGAAAUAACUUUUCUGCGAGUUCAACAAAUUUUCAGUUCUGAAAUUGAUUAACUUUGUUAACGAGAUUGUGCGGUCAAGAGUUUGUUGGUCAGAGACACUAGGAUUGCUUAAAGGGAAAAGUUUGUGUUACAAUGGCUUGGAGGCGUGCAUGCUUACCUCGUGAAUAUGUAUGUGUACAACUGUUAACACUGUCUUAUGAUUUUAUACAUGUAUAAGAGAAGCUUGACACGCGAGCAAAUUUGCAUGUGGCUGUGUAUAAUGGCUUGAAAGCAGAUGAGCUUUACCAGUCUUCCCUCGCCUCAGCCAAGCAAGCACAAUCGUAUCAAGAGGAAUGACUGUUUAGCAGCACAUCAUUCACAUUUUCCAAAACAAUGUAAACAUUAAUUUUUGUUGAUCGCCUGCAGUCUUCAUAUCACUAGCUUUUUACAUUGUAUACUGUAACUUACGUGGCACUCUGCAUCCCAGCAUUUUUAUUCAGAUAGAACUUGAAAUAUGAAAUUUGAGUUUGAACGAGUAGAGUCGUGCAAACUUUGUCAACAUGAAGUGUGUUAUUUUUAUAUAAUAAUUUGUUGCGCCAAAUUUUGAUUCAAUUUCUUGGAAACUGCACUCUUAUUCUGUAGCCUUUCUAGUAAAUUGGAGUGCUGCAAGUAAUUGCUACUACCACUAGUUGGCAUUCACUAUCGCAGUACCUCCCAUAAUAACGAGUGUCCUAAAACUGUUGUCACAGUCGAAUGACGAAAUGCUGCUGUUCAAAACUGCACUGACAGCGUGAUGGCUUGUUAACGAGUUACAGAAAUUCUCUGGAAGCACAUUGUGCCCUUUAUGUAGCACAUAGACAUUGUCCAUUGGCAAAAUGCUGAGACAAAUGCUGUCUGCAACACUUCGUGUAUAAAACCCCUUUUUCUGUCAACCAGUCAUCGGCAUGCGCAAACGUGUGCACAUUCCAUGUAUAACAGAUCUACUGUUGAAGCUACUACUUGUCAUGUUGCUGUGAUGAUGUCACCAAAGAAAUAUGUUCACACCACUGUUGAAAUGUGUGCUACAUGUUUUAAGAGAGCUGUUAAUAUUGCAAUGCUUCAGCUUGACACGUGCUGUUAUGGCAGAUAGUGAGCCUAGUCUGAGAAUGUUUGGUGAUGGGACACAAGGCGCCUCACACAGUUGCACAUUAUUUUUUGGCUAAUAACUGUAAGAAAGGUGUCCCAGCACAAGUUUUGCCCUGAUGAACCACGGCUGGCUAGAUGCAUGGCAGGCAUGUUUAGAAAUUAAGUCUAUUGAAGUGAUGGACUAGAAAGCCAUCACUUCAAUGAAACUCACUUCAAGCUUUGAUGAAAGCUUGUGUGGUAGCAAUUAAUCAUAGUCGGAGGUAAAAUAGAUGCCAACUAACACAAAACGGCAGUCGAAAUGUUUUUUUUUUUUUUUCUUUUUGUAGUCUGCAUCGAUUUCACCUUUGACUACAUUUCCAAUUGCUUGUCAGGGUAUAGGCUGUGCCAUUUGUGCUGGUACACUAGGGAAAUGGCUGGCCACCAAGAACAGAUGUGUGCAAGCCUAUGUUGCUUCUGCACAUUAUGUACGACUGCUGGUGCAGAGUUCGAGAUAGUAAUAGCACCUUAGUCUCAAGUGUUUGCAGAAAUUUGCUGGCAUCUUCUCAAGACAGAACUGUCAUGUGCCAAUGUGUGUGGGGAGCCUGUAGUUACAAUGGACCCCAAGACACCGCAGUGCCAGAAAUGUUCUUCACUUAUCACACUAGUUAACAAGUAGAGGCACAUGUAUAAUUGGAACAUUUUUUUACCUUUAUAUUAAUGAACUGCCAUUGAAGGCAGUUCACCACUUUUGACUACACCUUAUUGCAGGUGCACCCUUGAGUGCAGGUCUUACUAAUAUGGUAGACAUUUGCUAAGCUAUAGCACACCUGUUAAUGUAGUGCUAAGAUAAUCAUUCUACUUAAUCAACGUCACCCUCAUUGGACUUUUAGAGAUUUAGUAGAAAAGGCAAGCUUUUGCAUUGUCUGUUUAAGAGCAGGAGCUGAAACAGCCGAUUGCAUGUAUUGGCGUAUGGCUCAAUGUCUUCAAUAAAAAUU